rnacentral:rRNA from 1 species
UACAGAGGUCCCAAGCGUUACUGAGAAUCACUGGGUUUAAAGGGUGCGUAGGUGGUCCGUUAAGUCAGUUGUGAAAUCCCCGGGCUCAACCCGGGAACUGCUUCUGAUACUGGCGGACUUGAGGCCAGUAGGGGUCACUAGAACUGACGGUGGAGCGGUGAAAUGCGUAGAUAUCGUCAGGAAUGCCGGUGGUGAAGACGGGUGACUGGGCUGGUUCUGACACUGAGGCACGAAAGCGUUGGGGAGCGAACGGGG